rnacentral:rRNA from 1 species
AUCGCAACGAUUGCGACCCCAGGUCAGGCGGGGCUACCCGCUGAGUUUAAGCAUAGCAAUAAGCGGAGGAAAGGGC